rnacentral:rRNA from 1 species
UACGUAGGGGUCGAGCGUUGUCCGGAUUUAUUGGGCGUAAAGAGCUCGUAGGCGGUUCGCUAAGUCGGGUGUGAAACCUCCAGGCUCAACCUGGAGACGCCACCUGAUACUGGUGUGACUCGAGUCCGGUAGGGGAGCGUGGAAUUCCUGGUGUAGCGGUGAAAUGCGCAGAUAUCAGGAGGAACACCAGCGGCGAAGGCGGCGCUCUGGGCCGGAACUGACGCUGAGGAGCGAAAGCGUGGGUAGCAAACAGG